GAUGAACGCUGGCGGCGUGCCUAACACAUGCAAGUCGAACGAGACUGAGAUGACUGAGUCUUCGGACAAAGGAAUUGACUGUCGAGUGGCGGACGGGUGAGUAACGCGUGGAUAACCUGCCUCAUACAGGGGGAUAACAGAGGGAAACUUCUGCUAAUACCGCAUAAGCGCACAGUAACGCAUGUUACAGUGUGAAAAACUCCGGUGGUAUGAGAUGGAUCCGCGUCCGAUUAGCCAGUUGGCGGGGUAACGGCCCACCAAAGCGACGAUCGGUAGCCGGCCUGAGAGGGCGGACGGCCACAUUGGGACUGAGACACGGCCCAGACUCC
rnacentral:rRNA from 1 species